rnacentral:rRNA from 1 species
UGGAUGAGUGGCGAACGGGUGAGUAACACGUGAGUAACCUGCCCUCUUCUUUGGGAUAACGCCCGGAAACGGGUGCUAAUACUGGAUAUUCACUGAUCUUCGCAUGGGGGUUGGUGGAAAGGUUUUUUCCGGUGGGGGAUGGGCUCGCGGCCUAUCAGCUUGUUGGUGGGGUGAUGGCCUACCAAGGCUUUGACGGGUAGCCGGCCUGAGAGGGUGACCGGUCACAUUGGGACUGAGAUACGGCCCAG